UAUGAACAUUUUAGGGACAUUCAUCUCAUGAGGCUUUGAAAGGAGAGCAUAGAAGUAUAUUUGUGACUUUGGGGAAAUAAAGAUUUAUCUGAUGAGAUGUGGAAAACAAUAAAAUUAUCAUAAGUUUUUUAAAAAAACUAGACUUCAUCAAACUUUUGAUAUUCUUUUAAAGGUUAUAGAGGCAGUAAAAAGUCUGAUUUCCUUUGCAAAUAAAUAAUGUGGUAAUAGAAAAGAAACUAACUCCUGCACACCAACUAGGGAACAUUGAGGUGUUGACCUGUGAGAGAGUGGUGCAGAGAGAGCCCCGUAAGACAGGAAACCUUGCCUUGGCAGGGCGAAAUGACCAGGAGGAAAGUAGGAUUUAGACACACUGACAAGUUUCCUUAUAUUAUGCAGCACUAUGCAAUUUUCUAAGUGCUUUCAGAUGUUUACUCUUGACUCCCAUAAAAUCGCUGUGAGCUGAGCAGGGCUUAAUAUGAUUUCUACAUUCUAGAAGAGCCUGAGAUCACACGGCUGGGGAACCGUGGGGCAGGAUGGAGUGUGGGUCCUUCGUCUCUUGGCUUCCUGGGUGUCGGAGCUGGGUGUAAAUCCAAGCACCCACCCUGCAGCCUGUGCUCAGCCCACCGUGCUCCAGGCUGCUCAGGCUUUGUGCACGGAGUAGAGUCAGAGGCAACGGAAGAGGAGGUGGCAGCCAGCACUCUUGGGCCCGGGACCCUUGCUUGAGACUUGACAUGAAAUGGAAGAGAGUGCGAGAACUGGAAGGAGAUCACAGUAGCUCUGGCUUUCAGACACAAGUGUCUAUUUCCUCAGUCAAGGAGAAGCCUUCCUCACACCAUGAGAGGUGUGGACCUUGUAUCUCUUACAACAACCAAGGCUGGACACCACCUCCUAAUGUCGUUGGAAAAGCCAGUGCUCCACCUUAUGACCCAAACUGACUGAGAGAAUGUUUGCCAGGCCCCUGGCUGUCUACGAGGAAUGGGAGAGGGAAAGCACUCCAUGGAAUGAAGGGGAAGAAGGAGCAAGGGUACGGGUCCCAGUGGUCCCAGCCUGGACUCUUCCUAGCUGUUGAGCACAGCUGAAAGAACAGAGCAACACUCGAGGCCAAGGUGGAAAGAGCUUCCUUUCCUUGUAGGCCACUGACCUUACACUGGAACGAGCACCACCAGCAAACACCUGUGAUGCCAAUCGUCUUGCAGGUAGGAGAGAUCCAUCCAGGAGUGGGAUGGACUCGACAUAAGCUGCAGGUGUGAUUCCUAAAGGACGUGCUACUCAAACACCAUGGAGGCUCGGCAGCAAAAAGCUGGUGGCGGGGUUGCAAAUUGCCAAGCACACCUGACACUCAUGGCCCUACACGCUCAUUCAACUGUUAAGAUACGGAAUAGAAAUCUACCCCCUGGGCAACCCAAGUGUUCAUUAACAGAUACAAACAAACUGUGGUCCAUCCACACAACAGAAUAUGAUUCAGCCUUUAAAAGGAAGGAAACGCUGACAUGGGUUACCACUGGAUAAACCUUGAAGACAUAGUGCUCAGUGAAAUAAGCCAGUCACAAAAGGAUGAGCGCUGUGUGAUUCCUCUUAUAGGAAGCACUAAAGUAGGCAAAUCCAUAGAGACAGAAAGUACAGUGGAGGCUGCCAGGGUCACGAGAGGAGGAGUUAUUGUUCAAUGGGUAGAGUUUCCAUUCACAAGACUAAAAAGCCCAGAGACGGAUGGUGGUGACGGUUUCCCACAGUGUGAAUGUGCUUAACACCACUGGACUGUGUGCCUAAAAUGAUUAAAUGGUUAAUUUUAUAUUAUAUAUAUAUUACCAUAAUUAAAAAGAAUAGCAUCAGUAGGGCCAGCACAAUGGCUCACACUUGUAAUCCCCGCACUUUGGGAGGUCAAGGCAGAAGGAUUGCUUAAGCCCAGAGGUUAGAGACCAGCCUGGGCAACAUGGCGAGGCCCUGUCUCUACAGAAAAUCAGCUGGGCAUGGUGGCAUCUGCCUGUAGUACAAGCUACUCGGGAGGCUGAGAUAGGAGGAUCAUCUAAGCCCAGGAAGUUGAGGCUACAGUGAGCCACUGCACUCCAACCUGGGCAACAAAGCAAGAAGACCCUGUCUCAAAGGAAAAAAAAAAAUAGCACCAGCUAUUUUUAAAAAAUCCCCCAUGGAAGUCAGGAACACUUUUAUUCACUACUUCCUCAGCAUCACAAAAGGUGUUUCUUCCCCAUCCUGGUCUCCCAGCCAAGGAUAAGCAUUAUAAAUGCUGGUGCUUUGAGAGAAGUUGGGCUACUUCUAAAGUGGUGGUUUCUGUUUAAGCCUGGAAUUUGCUCUCCCAGAGGAUCAAGGACCAUGUUGAGGCAGUCGGGCUGUGGAAAGCUCUGUGGCACCCCAGCACACUUUUGAUUUCAACAGCAUUGUCUCUAGCCGUCAAAGCAUCCCUCUUUGGGCAGAAGUUUUCGAUGACUGGCAUUCUUUCACAAUUCUUGCUCUAUCAAAUGUUUUUUAAAGCACCUCUGCCCAUAAAUGCAACACAAACAAGUUGCCCUGUGAGUCACAGGACGAGAGCACAUGCUAAGUCCGCGUAAUGAUCUUUAUGUAAUUUGCCCCUUAGUCAUUGUCUGGCCCAUUAGGUAAACAGGCAGUGUGCAUUUCUUUGAAAAUAAGGGUCUCUAUAAAAACUGCCAUUGUGAAUAGACUGAGCAAUAAAGCGCCCCACAAGGUGUUUAACUGAAAGGAAUGUUUUAGAGAUAAAAGCAGGUUUGUUUUGAAGUCAUUCAGGAUAAAAUAUGAAACAGGAUUUCCCCAAGUCCACCCUGGACAUUGAUUGUUUUUAAAUUUCAUAGGGAAAAAAAAAUCACUGUGGCCUAUCUGAGCCUUAGGGGCAAACGCUGAAGUCUCUCAGUGGAUAUCGACUUUGCACAGGAAAAAAGGCACUGAGACCCUGGAGGUGGAGCAUGGAGCUCUGCCGCCUCGCUUCCUCUGUGAGCUCGGCCCUGGCAUUCCUCACAUCACUGCUGGCCCUUGAGUAACAGGCCCCACACUUUCAUGAAUAUAAUAGAAAGAAAGCAGAAUUCGGUCUUAAAUGUAGUUGAAAGCCACAUCGAGGAAGAUGUGGUGAAAUACCCCAGGAGAUGCAUUGAGCUUCAGAACGUGCACUGUGUGCCGGGCCCUAGCUUUCCCCAGCCUCCUCCUGAUGAACUCUGGUUUCCUCUCAUCCUUCAAGGCUUAGCUGGGCCGGGCACGGUGGCUCAUGCCUAUAACCCCAGAGCUUUGGGAGGCCAAGGUGGGAGGAUCGCUUGAGCCCAGAAGUUCGAGACUAGCCUGGGCAACAUAGUGAAACCCUGUCUCUACAAAAAAAAAAAAAAAAAAAUUAAAAAUUAGCUGGGUGUGGUGGUGCACACCUAUUGUCCCAGCUACUUGGGAAGCUGAGGCAAGAGGAUCACUUGAGCCCAGGAGUUCAAGGCUGCAGUGAGCUAUGAUAAUGCCACUGCACUUCAGCCUGGACAACAGAGCAAGACCAUGUCUCUGGAAAAAAAAGAACAAAAGGCUGGGCUGGUUUAAAAGUGAGCUUCUCACCGAGCCCUUCCCAGAGGACUCUCCUCAUCUGGGCCUUCCUUGGUCAUGCUAAUCACAUUGCAUUGUAACUGUUGGCUAAUCGGCUUGCUCCACUGGAAUUUGAAGUUCUUUGAUAGAGGGAAUGUCUUUCAUCUCUGUAUCCGCAGUCUGACGCCUGGUGCUAUAGAUGCUAAGUAAAUAAACGGUGCUGGACUUGGACCUGAAUCGAUCCAUCACCGAGUAUGUGUUGAGUGUCUAUCUACAGCCCUGCUAUGGGAAAUGAAGACAUGCUUGUUUUCCCUAAAGAGCUUAUAGCUUUGUUGGAGAAGCACUGCAUAGGAUACUAUAUCAGGCAAGAGAGGACACAUUUGGAUGACAGUUGCACACUAUAGACAAAUUUCUCAAGUAACCCAGAAGAGAUGGGAUGGGAGCUCUUUUCCUGAAGGUAGCUGUAUGGAACACUGAUGAGGAUCUUGAGCAUUUGGGAGCCCAAAAGAGGGACAGGCUUGGAUUGAGAGGGAAAGUAAUGGGGAAAGGAACUCCAUGAACUGCAGGACAUGGAAUGCAGCAUUGUGAGCCUAAUUUUGAACAUUUAGUCCUGUGUUAAAAGGCUUGCUAGUAAAAAGCUUGUUUACUUAUUAGUAAAAGGUUUUACUAACUACAUGAGCUUAGGUAAGCUGGGUGGAGGCUCCCUGCCUCCAUUUCCUCUAUAAAGUGGGACAAUGAUAGUAACAACCUCAAUUUGUUUGUAUGAGAAUGAAAUGGGACACUGCACAGGCACCCUUAGCAUGCGCUGUGGACAGAGCUCUCUUCCUUACUAGCUGGUAGUAUGCGCCAAGAGGGGAUGAGCCCAGCCUAUCUGUGGGAGAGUCAUCAGGGCUUUUUGAGCAUUGGUGCCCACCAAGAAGUGUGAUGGGCCUGGAUUAUGAAGGGCUUCAAAAAUUGGCAGAUGAACUUCAACAUGACGGGGAAGAAACAGGAAACCCUGGGAGGUAUUCCCCUUGCCCCACUGAGGGUAGGGAGCUCAAGCCAGCAUGGUCCAGGCUCUCCUCCCCUCAUUCCUGACCAGGUUUAAUGCGUUCCUACCUAGCUCACCAACAUAUCCAAUGGGAGUUCCCACAAAUUAAACGUUUUUCGCUAAGCCUGUGGUGCUUUGAUUACUAAGUGGGGUUUUGUUUUGUUUCCAUUAACAAAGAGUGACUCAAAUAGCCUAAAAUAAUAAAAUCUUUUCUCAUCUCUGACUUUGACUCCUUAACCUCAGCACAAAUCACAAGACCCUUCUCAAUUUUCUCAUCUUCAACAUAUAAAUGAUGCCAGCGCCUCCCAGGGCAUUAGAAGGAUUAGCAUCUGUCAAAAAUACUGGAAACCUUGGGACCUAUGGCCCGAGAAGAGCUUUAGCAAGUAUUUUAUUUUUAAAAAAGAGCCUAAACAGGCUGACUCCCUCUGCAUCUUGCUACUUCUGAGGUCUAUGCAGUUCUGCACUUUUCUCUUUUCUAUUGUUAUGUAUUUGAUUAUCCCUUACAGAGUGGGGUGGUUUUCCUGCUAAACACCAUCGUGUAUGCAGUUAUUUUCCUCCCCUCAGCUCCCCACAGUAUUCC
rnacentral:lncRNA from 1 species